AAGCCGCAGCCCAAGACCUGCCGCGUGCUGGUGCUGAGCCCAACCCGCGAACUCUCCGGCCAGAUCCUCGAGAGCUUCAAUGCCUACGGCCGGCAUAUCAAGCUGACCUCUGCGCUGGCGAUCGGCGGCGGCCCGAUGGGGGGCCGCCAGGUCCGCUCCGUCAUGCAGGGCAUCGAUGUCAUGGUGGCGACACCCGGACGUCUGCUCGACAUGGUACAGGGCAA
rnacentral:misc_RNA from 1 species